GGAGAGGUGGCAGAGUGGUCGAUCGCGCCGCACUCGAAAUGCGGUGUUCCGAAAGGAACCGGGGGUUCGAAUCCCUCCCUCUCCGCCA
rnacentral:tRNA from 1 species